UAGGGUCAGAUUAGGCUAUGGUUAGGGGUCAGAUUAGGCUAUGGUUAGGGGUCAGAUUAGGCUAUGGUUAGGGGUCAGAUUAGGCUAUGGUUAGGGGUCAGAUUAGGCUAUGGUUAGGGGUCAGAUUAGGCUAUGGUUUGGGGUCAGAUUAGGUUAUGGUUAGGGGUCAGAUUAGGCUAUGGUUUGGGGUCAGAUUAGGCUAUGGUUUGGGGUCAGAUUAGGUUAUGGUUAGGGGUCAGAUUAGGCUAUGGUUUGGGGUCAGAUUAGGUUAGGAUUUAGAUUAGGUUAUGGUUAGGGGUCAGAUUAGGCUAUGGUUAGGGGUCAGAUUAGGCUAUGGUUAGGGGUCAGAUUAGGUUAUGGUUAGGGGUCAGAUUAGGCUAUGGUUAGGGGUCAGAUUAGGUUAUGGUUAGGGGUCAGAUUAGGCUAUGGUUAGGGGUCAGAUUAGGCUAUGGUUAGGGGUCAGAUUAGGCUAUGGUUUGGGGUCAGAUUAGGUUAUGGUUAGGGGUCAGAUUAGGCUAUGGUUAGGGGUCAGAUUAGGUUAUGGUUAGGGGUCAGAUUAGGCUAUGGUUAGGGGUCAGAUUAGGCUAUGGUUUGGGGUCAGAUUAGGUUAUGGUUAGGGGUCAGAUUAGGUUAGGAUUUAGAUUAGGUUAUGGUUAGGGGUCAGAUUAGGUUAGGAUUUAGAUUAGGUUAUGGUUAGGGGUCAGAUUAGGCUAUGGUUUGGGGUCAGAUUAGGUUAUGGUUAGGGGUCAGAUUAGGCUAUGGUUUGGGGUCAGAUUAGGUUAUGGUUAGGGGUCAGAUUAGGCUAUGGUUUGGGGUCAGAUUAGGUUAUGGUUAGGGGUCAGAUUAGGCUAUGGUUUGGGGUCAGAUUAGGUUAUGGUUAGGGGUCAGAUUAGGCUAUGGUUUGGGGUCAGAUUAGGUUAGGAUUUAGAUUAGGUUAUGGUUAGGGGUCAGAUUAGGUUAGGAUUUAGAUUAGGUUAUGGUUAGGGGUCAGAUUAGGCUAUGGUUUGGGGUCAGAUUAGGCUAUGGUUUGGGGUCAGAUUAGGUUAUGGUUAGGGGUCAGAUUAGGCUAUGGUUUGGGGUCAGAUUAGGUUAGGAUUUAGAUUAGGUUAUGGUUAGGGGUCAGAUUAGGCUAUGGUUAGGGGUCAG